CCUUUGACUUUCUCUCUCUCCCGUUUUAUUUCUUCAUUCUCUCCCUCUUCUUCUGCUAAUCCUAGAUCUGUUGAAACCCAACGAAAUCUAUCAAAAACUCAGAAGCUAUUUCUCUGAAGACUUAUCUAUAGAUCAAAACCCAUCUUUCAGAGAUCAAACUCAAUCUUCACUAACCUAAAAUUCGUUUGCAGCCCUAGAUAUGUGAUUUUCCCCUUCAUAAACUCUAGCAAAAUAAACUAUUUUCUCUAUUUUUACAUUUGAAAUUUAUCCAAUCCAAUGAGAUGAGUUUAUCAAGUACAGGUGCAGUGUGUAAAAACCCCAAUUCGUUUUUUCUCUACCCUAAUUCGUUUUUUUUCUAGGGAUUUUCCUUCCUAUAUGUCAUUUAUGAUCAAGAAGAACCUCGGUGAAAAGAUUAGAUAAAGCAGAUCCAUCACUAAUCGGAUCCGUAUGAAACUGAUAACCCUGUCAGCUUAUGUAUGUUUAUGCAUCAACAUCUCCAGAGAUGGAAAUGAAGAUGGAAAGAAUUUUUUUCUUGAGGAAUUGAUUAUUCCUUCAAAGUGAAGAUGGGGUAUACCACCAAAGCUUAGACCUGCCCCUUGACAGUUCUGAAGCCACUGAGCCUACGCGUCAACUCUCAACAUCUCUUACGUUUCUUUUGUAUCCUUCAACUCUCAACUGUUGUCCUGUUGUAGUAAUUUAGUUGGGUGCAAAUGUAGCUUUAAACUGCAGUGAGUAAGGGAUCAAAGUUGAAGAAUCCAGUAGAGUACAUGGCUUACAGAGUUUAAGCCCAACUUUUGUUCUUUUUGACAACGUCACUCAACAUUCUAGUUGCCAAACUUUUCCAUGGCUUACAGAGUUUAAGCCCAAAGUGAGCAAAAGCACCACGAAGGCGUAGAAAACAACCCAGCUAAACUUGAUAUGCUUAUUGGACUUCCUUUGUUUCUUCUUGUACGCAUAUAUGAGAAUGAUGAGGUACAUAGCGACAUAGACGAAUAAAAUUUUGGUAUUGCUAAUUUGAUAGUUUAGUUUCGUAGUGGCUGGUCUGUCAUACCGCAGUUUCAGUUUUCUUGACUUUCGUCAGUACUCGUGAACUUUUGAUUUCAGUGAGGGCUUGAGUUAUUUGUCUGCAAUAAAAUCUUGUGGGUUGUUCUAUAUUCCUCUUUAUGUUUUUCAAAUGAGCGCAGGGCAGUUGGUCUUUAGUCUUCACAAAUCCUCUAAAAUAAUGGGACAAUAGCCAACAUAUAGAAGAGCAAUUCUGACACUUCCAGAAAUUAAACACAAAGGGAAGAUUCAGUGGCUUAUAUAUUUAACUUGUUUAACCUGCGUACGUUGUACAUUAAAAUGAUCUAGUUGGCUAAGAUUCAGUGGCUUAUAUCUUUACCUUGUUAACCUGUGUAUAAUGUGCCGCACAUUAAAAUGAUCUAAUGGUGUCUAUGGUUCUGCAUACACAGGAAACAAAGAUGUAUGUAUUAUUGGUGAUGCACGUCCACCAAUGGGUGGAUUUUUUGGUAGCGUAUAAUCAACUGUGGGACACUAAGCUCGGAUCAGUAACUAUUAGGUGCGCUCUUAAAAGGGUGCAUGAUCUAACACUUACGGAAAAGAUCUUCUUUGGUAGUGUUGUUAGUGCAAAUUCAGGCCAUGCUCCUGCUUCACAAGCACCAUUAGGUGCAUGGUUACCUAAUACUGUAAUCUGCACUACCACUAACAAAGUUUGGGCAUGAAGAAGGUCAGCAAUAUGAUAAGAUCACGUUUUAUGGAACAUGUCAACGUUGUUGACCCCAUACGUCACUCGGGCGUAUUUGGCAUAUGUGAUCAGUUAUACGGAUCAAGUCUCUCAAGAUUGUGGAAGCCACCCUGGUUAGCCAGUGAAGGGCGCAACGAGCACAUAAGUCCAAUGGAGGCACAAGGCAUUGGAUAAGCAUAAAUUAUUUAUUAUUAGGGAUAAUACAUUUAUUUAGGUAUUUUAUUAUAUUUUAAGUAUUUAACUAUUUUAUUUAGAGUUUAUAUUUGUUUAGAAUACUAUUUUAUAAGUAGUAUUGUUUUCUUAUUUUCCAAGUAAUGUAGCCUAUAAAGAGGCCUUAUUAAUUGGUUAAUGAUAACAAAAAAAUUAUUAAGCAAA